GCAAAGUGCGUGGAUCAACUUAUAAAACUCCAGGAUCUAUGGAAUGAAGCUGCGCAAAGGUCAGUCAAAGCUUAUAUGCCAUGGACAAUAAAACAUUCACCUAUGUUGGCACCUGAAUGAGCUUGGUUAUUUUAUGCCAUGGAUAUACCUUAAACAAAAUCGGUUCUCAAUUAUGACCAAAAUGAACAUUUUGCCAAUCUGCGUCGAUUCGCAAAUCAACAGAUUUGAAGACUCACGAAUCC